rnacentral:lncRNA from 1 species
CUCUUAUUGACCUUUUACUAUCUCUGAUAUGACUUGGUUGAUACGAUGUGUGUAUUCACGGUUCUGUAGCAAUACUCGUAGAUGGAUUGUUGAAAGGUAAAUUGUUAUUUGCACUUCGGUAUUUAACCACGCCUCUCAGGUGUGAUUGUCUAUUCGGAUCCGUGAAUUAUAAGACAAGGGGAGCAUCCAAUACACAUAUUAAAAAUAUAUAUUCAAGUUGGUGACAAAUACAAAUUGAUCGCCGUGGAAUUAUUUAAUUAUGUUUGGUGCUAUUAUUUAUUUGAAUUCAAAUAAGUUAAUUUACUAAGAAAUACACAAUUUUUGGUUAAAGACGGGAAACUUAAUUCAUAUGUCCGAUUGAAAUGAUUUACACCUUUUGUCCUUGAUUGAUGUCUAAUAAAAAGGAGAACUUAGAAAUUAUAAAUAGCUUUACCAAAGUAUUUUUAUUUGUCUUUAUUAGGCAAAUAAAUGAAUGAGAACACUUAGAUUUAGACUUUUUAAAAGCCACGUACAAAUUAAUAACUAGAACUCACUGAAGAUAACUCUACCGAAACGGAAUAUAAUAUGAACGAAUAAAGAAAAAAUACUUUUGUACUUGAGAAGUCUUAAAACAUUGACAGCAAAUUUAAGGUCUUCUUGGAAUGGAAUCGAAAAAUUACGAAUAGAUAUUCUUUAUCAAGUGUGAAAAACGUCAACCAAAUUUAAUCAUAAUCGGGGACGUCCUUAUUAAAGUAGUCUUCGU